rnacentral:rRNA from 1 species
AGCCAGGUAACUGGUGGAGGUGACCGGUACUAAUAGGCCGAGGGCUUGUCCUCAGUUGCUCGCGUCCACUGUGUUAGUUCUGAGGCAACGACCGUGUCAUGUUUCCGGUCAGAGUUUCAUAGUGUUUCGGUGGUUAUAGCGUGAGGGAAACGCCCGGUUACAUUCCGAACCCGGAAGCUAAGCCUUACAGCGCCGAUGGUACUGCAGGGGGGACCCUGUGGGAGAGUAGGACGCCGCCGAAC